AUACGUAGGGGGCAAGCGUUAUCCGGAUUUACUGGGUGUAAAGGGAGCGUAGACGGUUUGGCAAGUCUGAUGUGAAAGCCCGGGGCUCAACCGCGGGACUGCAUUGGAAACUGUCAGACUUGAGUGCAGGAGAGGUAAGUGGAAUUCCUAGUGUAGCGGUGAAAUGCGUAGAUAUUAGGAGGAAUACCAGUGGCGAAGGCGACUCUCUGGACUGAUACUGACGCUGAGGCACGAAAGCGUGGGGAGCAAACAGGAUUAGAUACCCUGGUAGUCCACGCUAUAAACGAUGAGUGCUAGGUGUCGGGGGUCAAACCUCGGUGCCGCAGUUAACACAUUAAGCACUCCGCCUGGGGAGUACGGCCGCAAGGCUGAAACUCAAAG
rnacentral:rRNA from 1 species